AUUGAACGCUGGCGGCAUGCCUUACACAUGCAAGUCGAACGGUAACAGGUCUUCGGAUGCUGACGAGUGGCGAACGGGUGAGUAAUACAUCGGAACGUGCCUAGUAGUGGGGGAUAACUACUCGAAAGAGUGGCUAAUACCGCAUGAGAUCUACGGAUGAAAGCAGGGGAUCGCAAGACCUUGUGCUAAUAGAGCGGGCGAUGGUAGAUUAGGUAGUUGGUGGGAUAAAAGCUUACCAAGCCGACGAUCUGUAGCUGGUCUGAGAGGACGAUCAGCCACACUGGGACUGAGACACGGCCCAGACUCCUACGGGAGGCAGCAGUGGGGAAUUUUGGACAAUGGGCGAAAGCCUGAUCCAGCAAUGCCGCGUGCAGGAUGAAGGCCUUCGGGUUGUAAACUGCUUUUGUACGGAACGAAAAGCCCCGGGUUAAUACCCUGGGGUCAUGACGGUACCGUAAGAAUAAGCACCGGCUAACUACGUGCCAGCCGCCGCCGUAA
rnacentral:rRNA from 1 species